UAUUGGACAAUGGGCGGAAGCCUGAUCCAGCAACGCCGCGUGAGGGAUGACGGCCUUCGGGUUGUAAACCUCUUUCAGUACCGACGAAGCGCAAGUGACGGUAGGUACAGAAGAAGCACCGGCCAACUACGUGCCAGCAGCCGCGGUAAGACGUAGGGUGCAAGCGUUGUCCGGAAUUAUUGGGCGUAAAGAGCUCGUAGGCGGCUUGUCGCGUCGACCGUGAAAACUUGGGGCUCAACCCCAAGCCUGCGGUCGAUACGGGCAGGCUAGAGUUCGGUAGGGGAGACUGGAAUUCCUGGUGUAGCGGUGAAAUGCGCAGAUAUCAGGAGGAACACCGGUGGCGAAGGCGGGUCUCUGGGCCGAUACUGACGCUGAGGAGCGAAAGCGUGGGGAGCGAAC
rnacentral:rRNA from 1 species